GAUAAAAAUAGGAGAAAUCAUUCAUACCGAAAGUUUUACGGUUUUCCAUCGCUUCAAUAUCCUCAUCGAUCUUCAUUGAUCUUACAUACUUUCUCUCGAGCAAUUCAGAUCUGCCUCCAUUUGUUAUUUAGAAUUGAAAAGCAUUUCAUCAAUUGAUGUUGAUGGCUGGUUCUUCGUCUCCCACCAACAAUCCUUCAAGAAGCAUGAUGUUUUUCUUAGUUUCAGAGGCGAGGACACCCGCAACAGUUUCACGAGCCAUCUCUAUGCGGCUUUGUGUCGUAAAAAGAUUAAUACUUUCAUUGAUGACCAAAUGUUAGAGGAGAUGAAAUUUCAUCAUUUCUUUGAAUACCAUUAAAGCAUCAAAAAUUUCAGUCAUCAUUUUCUCAAAAAGUUAUGCAUCUUCUGGAUGGUGCCUCCAAGAACUCGAACAAAUCCUUCACUACAAGAAAUAGAGAGCAGAUUGUUAUACCAGUUUUCUACCACGUAGACCCAUCAGAUGUAAGGAAUCAAACUGGGAGUUUUGGAAACGGAUUGCUGAGCUUGAAAAAUGUACUAAGGAGAAGUUAGAGAUGCUGCAAAGAUGGAAGACUGCUUUGAAUGAAGCAGCUAGUCUAGUUGGCUGGACUAUAAUAAUCAGAAGCCUGAAUCUAAACUUAUAGAUGAAAUUUUGGACGAUAUUUCCAUGAGACUGAAUAAUUGUCUCCAAGUGAUUAUUCGGGCCGGUUGGAAUAGAAUUUCCAAAAAGAAUAGAGUCUUUGUUGCACAAGGGAUUCAAUGGUGUUUCAAAAUAGGAAUUUGGGAUAGGUGGUGUUGCAAGACAACUAUUGCCCAUGUAGUAUU